rnacentral:ncRNA from 1 species
CUCGGGAACAUGAAGUUGAAAUCGCUAGUAAUCGCGGAUCAGCAUGCCGCGGUGAAUAUGUACCCGGGCCCUGUACACACCGCCCGUCACACCCUGUGAAUUGGUUUCGCCCGAAGCAUCGGACCAAUGAUCACCCAUGACUUCUGUGUACCACUAGUGCCACAAAGGCCUUUGGUGGUCUUAUUGGCGCAUACCACGGUGGGGUCUU